AGGGAAUCUUCGGCAAUGGGGGCAACCCUGACCGAGCAACGCCGCGUGAGUGAAGAAGGUUUUCGGAUCGUAAAGCUCUGUUGUAAGUCAAGAACGGGUGUGAGAGUGGAAAGUUCACACUGUGACGGUAGCUUACCAGAAAGGGACGGCUAACUACGUGCCAGCAGCCGCGGUAAUACGUAGGUCCCGAGCGUUGUCCGGAUUUAUUGGGCGUAAAGCGAGCGCAGGCGGUUUGAUAAGUCUGAAGUUAAAGGCUGUGGCUCAACCAUAGUUCGCUUUGGAAACUGUCAAACUUGAGUGCAGAAGGGGAGAGUGGAAUUCCAUGUGUAGCGGUGAAAUGCGUAGAUAUAUGGAGGAACACCGGUGGCGAAAGCGGCUCUCUGGUCUGUAACUGACGCUGAGGCUCGAAAGCGUGGGGAGCGAACAGGAUUAGAUACCCUGGUAGUCCACGCCGUAAACGAUGAGUGCUAGGUGUUGGAUCCUUUCCGGGAUUCAGUGCCGCAACUAACGCAUUAAGCACUCCGCCUGGGGAGUACGACCGCAAGGUUGAAACUCAAAGGAAUUGACGGGGGCCCGCACAAGCGGUGGAGCAUGUGGUUUAAUUCGAAGCAACGCGAAGAACCUUACCAGGUCUUGACAUCCCGAUGCUAUUUCUAGAGAUAGAAAGUUACUUCGGUACAUCGGUGACAGGUGGUGCAUGGUUGUCGUCAGCUCGUGUCGUGAGAUGUUGGGUUAAGUCCCGCAACGAGCGCAACCCCUAUUGUUAGUUGCCAUCAUUCAGUUGGGCACUCUAGCGAGACUGCCGGUAAUAAACCGGAGGAAGGUGGGGAUGACGUCAAAUCAUCAUGCCCCUUAUGACCUGGGCUACACACGUGCUACAAUGGUUGGUACAACGAGUUGCGAGUCGGUGACGGCGAGCUAAUCUCUUAAAGCCAAUCUCAGUUCGGAUUGUAGGCUGCAACUCGCCUACAUGAAGUCGGAAUCGCUAGUAAUCGCGGAUCAGCACGCCGCGGUGAAUACGUUCCCG
rnacentral:rRNA from 1 species